GCCUUGGUUAUAACACCAAGAAUGAUCAGAUAUACAACUUACAAUAUAGAACAUAAAGAAUGAUCAGAUUAUGAUAUACAACUUAAACUGAAGUUUAAAAGAGGAGACUUUACCUUGUAUUUUCUGCAGGUGAAGAACCGCUUCCCAGGAAGAGUGUCGUAGUCCUCCUUCCCGCGCACCUCGUUAAUGAGUCUCUCACCACACGGACACCUUUUAGGAAUACCGUACUCAGAAUCCGCCACGAAACUUAACAUGUUGAUGUGUUUGUGUUGCUUCUUUGAAUGUCUUCUAUCUUCUUCCGGAUCCAUCUGUCAAAUAAAUCAAGAUUUUGUCAAAUAAUUACUCGUAAACCACAAUCACGAUCUACAACCCUAAACCCAUCACUCGAUUUAACCCAUAAAACGAAACCCAUCACUCAAUUUAUAAACCCAUCACUCACCCAUAAAACGAAACCCUAAUUGGAUUUCAAAUCUCAGAAAAAAGAACCCUAAAUCAAAAAACAAUCACGAUCUACAACCCUU
rnacentral:lncRNA from 1 species